rnacentral:rRNA from 1 species
AACGCUGGCGGCGUGCCUAACACAUGCAAGUCGAACGAGAAAGGGGCUUCGGCCUGAGUAAAGUGGCGGCCGGGUGAGUAACACGUGGGUGAUCUGCCCUCCAGUGGGGGAUAACACACCGAAAGGUGUGCUAAUACCGCAUGGAGUUCCGGUUGUCAUGAUCGGAAUGAAAGCAGCAAUGUGCUGGAGGAGGAGCCCGCGCCGGAUUAGCUAGUUGGUGGGGCAAUGGCCUACCAAGACAACGAUCCGUAGCCGGCCUGAGAGGGUGACCGGCCACACUGGAACUGAGACACGGUCCAGACUCCUACGGGAGGCAGCAGUGGGGAAUUUUGCGCAAUGGGGGAAACCCUGACGCAGCAACGCCGCGUGGACGAUGAAGCAUCUUGGUGUGUAAAGUCCUUUCGGCAGGGACGAAACUCCCGCAAGGGAGUUGACGGUACCUGAAGAAGAAGCCCCGGCUAACUCCGUGCCAGCAGCCGCGGUAAUACGGGGGGGGCGAGCGUUGUUCGGAAUUAUUGGGCGUAAAGGGAGCGUAGGCGCUGCGGUAAGUCUGAUGUGAAACCUCCAGGCUCAACUUGGAGCUGGCAUCAGAAACUGCCGUGCUAGAGUGCGGGAGAGGAGAGUGGAAUUCCUGGUGUAGCGGUGAAAUGCGUAGAUAUCAGGAGGAACACCGGUGGCGAAGGCGGCUCUCUGGACCGCAACUGACGCUGAGGCUCGAAAGCUAGGGGAGCAAACAG